rnacentral:rRNA from 1 species
AUGUCUUCCUCCUCCGGCGCAUCCCAAACCAGCCUCAAUCGCCAGGUUACCGAGAAGCUGACGCGCACAAACUAUGUGCUAUGGCACACGCAAGUCAUCCCCCAGCUGCGUGGCGCCGGUGUCUACGGCUACGUCGACGGCACCCAGCCGGAGCCGGCAAAACUCCUCGUCACCACCAAGGACGGCAAGGAGGUCUCAUCAUCGCCCAACCCUCUCCACCCAAUCUGGGUCAGGGAGGAUCAGCAGGUCCUUGGAUAUCUGCUGAAUAACCUGACGCGUGAGGUGCUGCUCACGGUGACCACGGUCACCACUGCGGGCGCGCUCUGGACGACGCUCGCUGGGAUGUUCUCGUCCCAGUCUGCCAGCCGCAUCAACAACAUCCGAACAUCCCUCAUCAACGCGCAGAAGGGGAACCUCUCCGUCGCCUCCUACUUCGCCGCCAUGCGUGGCUACGCCGACGAGCUAGCUGCCGCAGGCAAGGCGAUCCCCGACGACGAACUUGCCUCCUACAUCAUCCACGGGCUCGACGCCGACUAUCAGCCUCUGGUCUCUGCCCUCGACGCUCGCGUGACCGGGGUAACCCUUGAUGAACUCUUUGCCAUGUUAUCCAACUUCGAUCAGCGCAUGGCUCAAUUCCAGGGGGCCGGCAGCGGCGGCUUCAAAUCAUCCGCGAACGCGGCCACUCGCGGGCGGGGCGGCGGCUCUCGCUCGCGUGGGCCCUCUCGCAACAAGGGCAGGUCCAGCGGCGGCGGCAACCGCGGCGCCACGCCACCACGAUCUGGUGGCCGAGGUCGCCGCGGACGCGGCGCUGGUGGCGGCGGCAGGAACCGUCCGGACACCCCUCGGUGCCAGAUCUGCGGCAAAGUCGGGCACACAGCAAAGGAUUGCUGGUACAGGUAUGAGGAGGACGACUACGACUCUCAAGAUGAAGAAAAAGUCGCUGCGGCGGCCGAUGGCUCAUAUGGUGUCGACACGAACUGGUACGUCGACAGUGGUGCUACCAACCACAUCACCAACGAGCUCGAGAAAGUAACCAUGAAAGAGAAGUAUCGUGGCAAGGAUCAAAUCCACACUGCCAGUGGAGAAGGCAACGAGGACAAUUCUCUAUCAAGGUAG